ACUAGAACUAGCCCGACCCGCUCCAAACUCAACUCAUACAAACCAUUAAACCAAAACAUUUACUUAUCAUAAAAGUAUAGGAGAUAGAAAUUAUAUUCGGCGCUAUAGAGAAAGUACCGCAAGGGAAAGAUGAAAGACUGUCUAUAAGUAACAAACAGCAAAGAUUACCCCUUUUACCUUUUGCAUAAUGAUUUAACAAGCACAAUUUAGCAAAGAGAACUGAAGUUAAAUACCCCGAAACCAGACGAGCUAUCUGCAAACAGCCUUAUAGGGCAAACCCGUCUAUGUGGCAAAAUAGUGGGAAGAUCUGCAGCUAGAGGUGAAAAGCCUACCGAGCCUGGUGAUAGCUGGUUGUCCAGAACAGAAUGUUAGUUCGAACUUAAAUCCUGCCUAAAAAACCAAUAGUUUUAAUGCAGAUUUAAAGUAUAAUCUAAAGAGGGACAGCCCUUUAGACACAGGAUACAACCUUCAUUAGUGAGUAAGCAUUACUAACACCAUAGUUGGCUUAAAAGCAGCCAUCAAUUGAGAAAGCGUUAAAGCUCAACAAACAUGCCAGUACUAAUACCCCAAGUAUAAAUCCAACUCCUAAUAUACAACUGGACUAUUCUAUUAAUAAAUAGAAGAACUACUGUUAAUAUGAGUAACAAGAAUAAUUUCUCCCAGCACAAAUGUAUAUCAGAACGGAUAGCCCACUGAUAGUUAACAACAGAAUGAGCACAACCCACAAACAAGACGCUCAUUAAAUAAGUUGUUGACCCAACACAGGAGUGCACUAAAGGAAAGAUUAAAAGAAGUAAAAGGAACUCGGCAAACACAAACCCCGCCUGUUUACCAAAAACAUCACCUCUAGCAUACCAAGUAUUAGAGGCACUGCCUGCCCAGUGACAUCUGUUCAACGGCCGCGGUAUCCUGACCGUGCAAAGGUAGCAUAAUCACUUGUUCCCUAAAUAGGGACUUGUAUGAAUGGCCACACGAGGGUUUUACUGUCUCUUACUUCCAAUCAGUGAAAUUGACCUUCCCGUGAAGAGGCGGGAAUACCUCAAUAAGACGAGAAGACCCUAUGGAGCUUCAAUUAACUAACCCAACGAAGAUAAACUUCAACCCACCCGGACACAACCACUCUUCGCCUGGGCUAGCAAUUUAGGUUGGGGUGACCUCGGAGCAUAAAAAACCCUCCGAGCGAUAAAAGCCUAGACUAACAAGUCAAAGCACUAUAUCACUUAUUGAUCCAAAUUUUGAUCAACGGAACAAGUUACCCUAGGGAUAACAGCGCAAUCCUAUUUAAGAGUCCAUAUCGACAAUAGGGUUUACGACCUCGAUGUUGGAUCAGGACAUCCUAAUGGUGCAGAAGCUAUUAACGGUUCGUUUGUUCAACGAUUAAAGUCCUACGUGAUCUGAGUUCAGACCGGAGCAAUCCAGGUCGGUUUCUAUCUAUUCUAAGCUCCCCCCAGUACGAAAGGACAAGGGAAGCAAGGCCCACUUUACAAAAGCGCCUUCAAAUUAACAGAUGAUUUAAUCUUAAUCUAACAACCAUAACAACUCCACCCUAGAAAAGGGUUC
rnacentral:rRNA from 1 species